rfam:Selaginella moellendorffii unplaced genomic scaffold SELMOscaffold_6, whole genome shotgun sequence.
GGCCUAUUAGCUCAGAUGGUCAGAGCGUGGUGCUAAUAACGCCAAGGUCGCAGGUUCGAGACCUGCAUGGGCCA